CGCGCGCCAUUGUUGUUUGGCUGGAUGCUUAGGCCUCCUUUGGUCCGUGGGCCGGGAACGGCGGGGAGCGCCUGUUUAGCUGCCCUGCUUUCGAGGGCACCUUGGAGAGCUCGGGCCGAAGUAGGGCGCGGUGUCCCCUGUCCCUUACCCUGCAGCACCGACUCUGCUAGGGCCUCUUCCGGACCCAGGGAUCAAAUACGAGUUUCUUGCGUCUCCUGCAUUGGCAGGUGGAUUCUUCACCACUGUGACGCCUGAGAAGCCCCUCUGGGGAGAAUGAAUACACAAGUAUGUAUGGCUGAGUCCCACUUGAAACUAUCGCCAACAUUGUUAAUUGGCUGUACUCCAGUAUAAAAUAAAAAGUUAAAAAAAAUUGUUUCACUACAAUCUCAGACAGUCUGGGCAUCUGAAACCAAAACAAAAAUCCUUUUGGAAUUUGGUAGAGUGUUAAAUCGAUUUUUCCUCAGGAUGAGGGUUUUUUUUUUUUUUCAGUUUGCUGUUUAUUAUUUAUAGCCCUGUUGUGAGGACAUCAGUAUUGACUGUCUGACAGCUGGGAUUACGGACAAAUCUUUCUUCAGUGCCACCUGUAUUCUGGAAUUGGUAGUUUAGGGUCAGGAUAUGCAUGAUGUAAGCAUUCUAUUAUAAAAUGUGUUGUACUUGACAGAUACAG
ensembl:lncRNA